AUGGGUGUCGCUCCUUUUAUGGGGACUUACCCCAGCUUCACCAUGGUAAGACCACAAGUCCACUCCAGUAAAGUCCACUUUGGACAUUACUGGACAGUGAGAUGGACAAUCAACCCCUUAGGUGGCCCUCACGCAUCCAUCAGAUGGCAGACAUGUUGUCUGAUUGUCUCAUCUUUUCAUCUGUCUUUAUGUAAGGCUGGGGCACCAGUUGCUGGAGCUCCGAUGAUGCCAAUGGCACGGCCAGGCUUCCCUGCCCAGGGAGCGACACCUGGAGGACCGAUCGCCCCUGGAGUGGCCCAGAGCCCGAGAAAGCCUCCACCACCCAGGAACGCCCUGGAUGACCUCAACAUUAAGGACUUCAUGUAGACUGAUUGACCCCAAAACCCUCAAAGGUUUGUCAUCAUGUCUGGAGCUCUGUGGAUGUGGAUGUCUGCACUCCCACCUUCCUCCCUCCUCGUUCUUUCUCUCUUACCCCCUCUCAGCCAACCAGCCAUUGAACUCUUUUACCCUCUGACCUCCAACCAGCCACUACCCCCCCCACUCCACCUCCACACACAACAACCCCCUCCUUUAUCUAAUGUUGUAGCACAACUGUGAAUGUGAACCCUAGAUACAAGAAAAGCAGAAUUCCGUUUACGUGUGUGUGGGUGUGCGUGUAAUUCAGUGUUAACCUUUACUUAAUAUACUAUGGAAAAAACAAAAAAACAAAAAAAAAAGAAAUAAAAAAAAAUCAAUGUGUAUUUAGAUUCA
rnacentral:lncRNA from 1 species